rnacentral:rRNA from 1 species
GCUCAGUAACACGUGGAUAACCUACCCUUAGGACCGGGAUAACCCUGGGAAACUGGGGCUAAUACUGGAUAGACGAUUUUUCCUGUAAUGGUUUUUUGUUUAAAUGUUUUUUCGCCUAAGGAUGGGUCUGCGGCCGAUUAGGUAGUUGGUUAGGUAAUGGCUUACCAAGCCUUUGAUCGGUACGGGUUGUGAGAGCAAGAGCCCGGAGAUGGAACCUGAGACAAGGUUCCAGGCCCCACGGGGCGCAGCAGGCGCGAAACCUCCGCAAUGUGAGAAAUCGCGACGGGGGGAUCCCAAGUGCCAUUCUUAACGGGAUGGCUUUUCUUAAGUGUAAAAAGCUUUUGGAAUAAGAGCUGGGCAAGACCGGUGCCAGCCGCCGCGGUAACACC